UACGAGAGGCCCAAACGUUAUUCGGAAUUACUGGGCGUAAAGCGUGCGCAGGCGGUUAUGUAAGACAGUUGUGAAAUCCCCGGGCUCAACCUGGGAACUGCAUCUGUGACUGCAUAGCUAGAGUACGGUAGAGGGGGAUGGAAUUCCGCGUGUAGCAGUGAAAUGCGUAGAUAUGCGGAGGAACACCGAUGGCGAAGGCAAUCCCCUGGACCUGUACUGACGCUCAUGCACGAAAGCGUGGGGAGCAAACAGG
rnacentral:rRNA from 1 species